rnacentral:rRNA from 1 species
AUUGAACGCUGGCGGCAGGCCUAACACAUGCAAGUCGAACGAGUGGCAGACGGGUGAGUAAUGUCUGGGAAACUGCCCGAUGGAGGGGUGUAACUACUGGAAACGGUAGCUAAUACCGCAUACCCUCAGAUGCGCCCAGAUGGGAUUAGCUAGUAGGUGGGGUAACGGCUCACCUAGGCGACGAUCCCUAGCUGGUCUGAGAGGAGGACCAGCCACACUGGAACUGAGACACGGUCCAGACUCCUACGGGAGGCAGCAGUGGGGAAUAUUGCACAAUGGGCGCAAGCCUGAUGCAGCCAUGCCGCGUGUAUGAAGAAGGCCUUCGGGUUGUAAAGUACUUUCAGCGAGGAGGCGUUACUCGCAGAAGAAGCACCGGCUAACUCCGUGCCAGCAGCCGCGGUAAUAC